ACAGAUGGUUGUGAUGAAGCUGACCACCCUUCUGAAGUGGUCGACGGUGGCCUGGACGGUGGGUGCCAGGUGCUCAUUGCCGUGCUUGUUCCUCUUGCCCCAGGUGGAGCCCAGGCACUGAGAGGGCAGCACCUUCCGGAAGAGCUCCUGGGGAACAAGGGGAGUGUCACCCAGCCCUGCCACAUGCCAGCUCUGU